rnacentral:rRNA from 1 species
UACGAAGGGGGCUAGCGUUGCUCGGAAUUACUGGGCGUAAAGCGCACGUAGGCGGCUCUUUAAGUCGGGGGUGAAAUCCUGGAGCUCAACUCCAGAACUGCCUUCGAUACUGGAGAGCUUGAGUUCGGGAGAGGUGAGUGGAACUGCGAGUGUAGAGGUGAAAUUCGUAGAUAUUCGCAAGAACACCAGUGGCGAAGGCGGCUCACUGGCCCGAUACUGACGCUGAGGUGCGAAAGCGUGGGUAGCAAACAGG